rfam:Strongylocentrotus purpuratus Contig14855_fixed, whole genome shotgun sequence.
GUGUCGUGGUCGAGUGGUUUAAGGCAUUUGACUGGAGAUCCGAAGGUCGAGGGUUUGAAUGCCUUCACGGCACU